rnacentral:tRNA from 2 species
GGAGACGUGGCCGAGUGGUCGAAGGCGCUCCCCUGCUAAGGGAGUAUGCGGUUUGUCCCGCAUCGAGGGUUCGAAUCCCUUCGUCUCCGCCA